CGGGCAGGAUACACAACCUCUCGCGGAAAAACUGUAAGGAAGCCGAUCAACUCUUCGGUUUUCUGAUCUCUCGAGGCGUUGCUAKUUUCGGCGAUCGGCUCACUGACUCCUGUGCCUUACCGUUGUUCCCGGUUUUCGAUAUCAAUGYAAGAGCUUGCAUUCGUGGAGCCGAUUCACGCGUUCGAAUUGUAGCAGUGAACAACCAUGGCCUUGCAUACGCUGGAGUCCAGAAUGAGCCACUCUAACCCAUCUCUUCUGUAUACACUCUUAAACCUUCCCUUCUCCACCUAUUUCUAAUUAGGCAAUCUUGGCAGGUGAAUGGCGUGGGCGUGGAAAGAAGGCUCGGAAGUGAUACGGAUUCGAAAGCGGCACGGGCACUAAGAAUGCUCGAAUUGCGGGAAAGAUGCACAACCUCUCGCGGCAAUACUAUAAAGAAGCCGAUCAACUCUUCGGUGUAAGCUUCUCAAUUCUCAACUUCAUUCGGUGUUCUCGUUUGGGKGUAUGGGUUACUAUUUUGCUUUGGUAAUAUGCGUAGUUUUAGAUUGCUCGAGGCUUUGCUACUUUUGGCGAUCGGCUUGCCGGCUCCGCGCCUUACCAUUGUUCCCGGUUUUCGAUAUCAAUGAAAGUAUAGGAAACAUCCCGUGCUUAAUUCAGUUCCGUUUUAUUUUAAUUCCGUAGGAUAAAUGACCGGAUGUUGUCGUGGGUGUGUGUGUUACUAAUUGCUCAAUGGCCGUUGUURUGCUUGUAACUUCUAUUCGUUUAUUAAU